rnacentral:lncRNA from 1 species
AUGCAGAGUCCGUGUGCACCUGCCUGUCGUCGUCAGCAUCACCUCUAUCAGCUUCACCCAUCAGUCUCUAUCAGCCUAGUUUCUCUGAUUUGUUGGUCAUCUGUCAUCCUCUACAUAUGUGUCUACCGUUAUGUAUGUAUGUAUGUACAUAUGUAUGCAUGUAUGUACCUACAAGUUACGUGUGUAUGUACAUAUGUGUGCAUGUAUGUACCUACAAGUUACGUGUGUAUGUACACAUCUAUGCACAUACAUAUCUAUGCACGUACGUAUGUAUCUACCAGUUCUGUGUAUGCAUAUAUGCAUGUGCACAUGUAUGCAUGUAUGUAUGCACAUACACAUGUAUGCGUGUACGCAUGUAUCUACCCGUUCUAUAUGUAUGCAUGUAUGUACGCACACAUAUGUGCAUGUAUGUAUCUACCAGUUCUGUAUGUAUGUACAUAUGUACACAUGCAUGUAUGUACAUACACAUGUAUGUGUGCAUGCAUGUACCUACCAGUUCUGUGUGUAUGUACGUACACAUGUAUGCAUGUACGCAUGUGUCUACCAGUUCUCUAUGUGUGUACAUAUGUACACAUGCAUGCAUGUACAUACAUGUAUGCGUGUAUGCAUGUAUCUACCAGUUCCGUAUGUAUGUAUGUAUGUGCGUAUACAUGUAUGCAUGUAUGUAUGUGUCUACCAGUUCUGUAUGUAUGUAUGUAUGUGCAUACACAUGUAUGCAUGUAUGUAUGUGUCUACCAGUUCUGUAUGUAUGUAUGUAUGUGCGUACACAUGUAUGCAUGUAUGUAUGUGUCUAGCAGUUCUGUAUGUAUGUAUGUAUGUGCGUACACAUGUAUGCAUGUAUGUAUGUGUCUACCAGUUCUGUAUGUAUGUAUGUAUGUGCGUACACAUGUAUGCAUGUAUGUAUGUGUCUACCAGUUCUGUAUGUAUGUAUGCAUGUGCGUACACGUGUAUGCAUGUAUGUAUGUGUCUACCAGUUCUGUAUGUAUGUAUGCAUGUGCGUACACGUGUAUGCAUGUACGUAUGUGUCUACCAGUUCUGUAUGUCUGUCUGUCACUGGACCCUGCCAGUGCUGCUUUGCUGCUGCCCCAUUGCGUGUCCCUGGAUACACGUGGCAGAAGCCAUAAAGGCGCUGGCUGGACACAGCUCUCGGGGGUUCCCUGGCAGCUCCCCACGCUGCAGCUCCGCCCCUGGCAUCCUUCUCUUCCCUCGGUUCCGCCAGCCGUCGGUGCACGCGUGGCUCUCGCGGGACGCGUGCUGCUGUGGGGCAGCCCUGGUGGGACAGGUUGCCAGGCAACUCCAGACCACCACAUUCUUUGGCAGGUGUCUGUGUGUGGGCCACCCGCUCUGCACUUCUCUCUCUCCACGCUGCUGUCUCUCUUCAGUGUUCAUUUCUGCCACCUGGGUCGGGGGACAGCUGAUGGCAAACCAAAUCCCCUAGUCCACCCAAGGGCGGAGCUGUUUCUCACAGGGGCAUCCAAGCCCUAG